rnacentral:rRNA from 1 species
GCAUGGCCCAUGGAAGAAAAGGUGGCCUCUACCUGUAAGCUAUCGCCUGAAGAGGGGUUUGCGUCUGAUUAGCUGGUUGGAGGGGUAACGGCCCACCAAGGCGACGAUCAGUAGCCGGUCUGAGAGGAUGAACGGCCACACUGGAACUGAGACACGGUCCAGACUCCUACGGGAGGCAGCAGUGGGGAAUCUUCCGCAAUGGGCGAAAGCCUGACGGAGCAACGCCGCGUGAGUGAUGACGGCCUUCGGGUUGUAAAACUCUGUGAUCCGGGACGAAAAGGCAGAGUGCGAAGAACAAACUGCAUUGACGGUACCGGAAAAGCAAGCCACGGCUAACUACGUGCCAGCAGCCGCGGCAAUACGUAGGUGGCAAGCGUUGUCCGGAAUUAUUGGGCGUAAAGCGCGCGCAGGCGGCUUCCCAAGUCCCUCUUAAAAGUGCGGGGCUUAACCCCGUGAUGGGAAGGAAACUGGGAAGCUGGAGUAUCGGAGAGGAAAGUGGAAUUCCUAGUGUAGCGGUGAAAUGCGUAGAGAUUAGGAAGAACACCGGUGGCGAAGGCGACUUUCUGGACGAAAACUGACGCUGAGGCGCGAAAGCGUGGGGAGCAAACAGGAUUAGAUACCCUGGUAGUCCACGCCGUAAACGAUGGAUACUAGGUGUAGGAGGUAUCGACCCCUCCUGUG